rnacentral:tRNA from 7 species
AACUCUAGCACAGUUGGUUUGGGUUGUUGCUUUGGAGCGAUUGGUGCCAGGUUCGAAUCCUGGGUUG